UACGAAGGGGGCGAGCGUUUGUUCGGAAUUACUGGGCGUAAAGGGCGCGCAGGCGGCUCUGAAAGUCAGAUGUGAAAGCCCCGGGCUUAACCUGGGAACUGCAUUUGAUACUCUGGAGCUUGAGUACGGGAGAGGAUAGUGGAAUUCCCAGUGUAGAGGUGAAAUUCGUAGAUAUUGGGAAGAACACCGGUGGCGAAGGCGGCUAUCUGGACCGUAACUGACGCUGAGGUGCGAAAGCGUGGGGAGCAAACAGG
rnacentral:rRNA from 1 species